UUGGGGCGUAGCCAAGCGGUAAGGCACCGGGUUUUGGUCCCGGCAUUUCCUAGGUUCGAAUCCUAGCGCCCCAGU
rnacentral:tRNA from 1 species